AUUGAACGCUGGCGGCAUGCUUUACACAUGCAAGUCGAACGGCAGCGCGGGCUUCGGCCUGGCGGCGAGUGGCGAACGGGUGAGUAAUGCAUCGGAACGUGCCCAGUAGUGGGGGAUAGCCCGGCGAAAGCCGGAUUAAUACCGCAUACGACCUGAGGGUGAAAGCGGGGGACCGAAAGGCCUCGCGCUAUUGGAGCGGCCGAUGUCGGAUUAGCUAGUUGGUGGGGUAAAGGCUUACCAAGGCGACGAUCCGUAGCUGGUCUGAGAGGACGACCAGCCACACUGGGACUGAGACACGGCCCAGACUCCUACGGGAGGCAGCAGUGGGGAAUUUUGGACAAUGGGGGCAACCCUGAUCCAGCCAUGCCGCGGGCGGGAAGAAGGCCUUCGGGUUGUAAACCGCUUUUGUUCGGGAAGAAAUCCUCUGGGCUAAUACCCCGGGGGGAUGACGGUACCGGAAGAAUAAGCACCGGCGAACUACGU
rnacentral:rRNA from 1 species